UACGUAGGGUGCAAGCGUUAAUCGGAAUUACUGGGCGUAAAGCGUGCGCAGGCGGUUGUGCAAGACAGGUGUGAAAUCCCCGGGCUUAACCUGGGAACUGCACUUGUGACUGCACAGCUGGAGUACGGCAGAGGGGGAUGGAAUUCCGCGUGUAGCAGUGAAAUGCGUAGAUAUCGAGAGGAACACCUGCGGCGAAGGCGGGUUGCUGGGCUGACACUGACGCUGAACUGCGAAAGCUAGGGGAGCGAACGGG
rnacentral:rRNA from 1 species